UGCUGCUCUCAAAUGAACCGUGCAGGAGUGCUGGGGGCUGGGGCACCGGGAACUACCCCCGCCCCCCGCCUGCUGGACCCCUCCGCCCGCAGCCCUGUGACCUGGACUCUGAACUGCCCCCACCCACAGCCUGGCUGCCUGCUCCGGCCCUCUACGGCCUCACCAUUGACUACUCCUGCAUCCUGUGGAGCUCGCAGUGCUCGGGCCGGCGUGGGGCCUGCAUAUACUACGACAACGACGCACUCCGCGACAGGUACCUGGGCCUGCAGGUGGGCUACAAGGCGCUGGGCACGCUGCUGCUGUUCGUCAUCAGCUGGAGGGUGAAGAAGAACAAGGAGUACGACGUGCAGGAGAAGGCCGCAGGCCUCAUCUGACUUGGGGUGCAGCCCUGCUCCGGGCAUGGACCCUGCCAGCCCCCCACCCCACAUGUACAUACUAACCUGAUACGUCCUUCCCUCUCUGUUUUUUAAAUAAGAAAGAAAGCCCCAGUC